rnacentral:lncRNA from 1 species
ACACACAAGCACGUAGAGACCUGGGGAAAAAGCAACACUGAGAAAUCUACCCUCUGAAACCGACGAAGAUGGGCAACAGAGGCUAGCUCAGGUGGCAAUUUUUAAGGAAAAAUAAAAGGAAGUGCGUGGAGACCUGGGGAAAAAGCAACACGGAGAAAUCUACCCUCUGAAACUGAGAAAGAAGCGCAACAGAGGCUAGCUCAGGUGGCAAUCUUUAAGCAAAAGAAACACACAAGGGCGUGGAGAGCUGGGGAAAAAGCAACACUGAGAAAUCCACCCUCUGAAACGGACGAAGAUGGGCAACAGAGGCUAGCUCAGGUGGCAAUCUUUAAGCAAAAAAAACACACAAGGGCGUGGAGACCUGGGGAAAAAGCAACACGGAGAAAUCCACCCUCUGAAACUGAGGAAGAUGGGCAAGAGAGGCUACCUCAGGUGGCAAUCGUUAAGCAAAAACAAAGCACAAAGGCGUGGAGCCCUGGGGACAAAGCAACCCUGAAAUAUCCACCCUCU